CCCUUAGAUGUCCUGGGCUGCACGCGCGCUACACUGAUGUGUCCAGUAAGCACCUAACCUCUUCCGAAAGGAACGGGUAACCUUUGCAAAGCACAUCGUGAUGGGGAUUGAUUAUUGCAAUUAUUAGUCUUGAACGAGGAAUUCCUAGUAAGCACAAGUCAUCAGCUUGUGUUGAUUACGUCCCUGCCCUUUGUACACACCGCCCGUCGCUCCUACCGAUUGAAUGUUCCGGUGAGCUCUUCGGACUGCGCGGUCUGCAGUUUCUGCGUUCCGUGCGGAAAGUUGCGCAAACCUUAACAUUUAGAGGAAGGAGAAGUCGUAACA
rnacentral:rRNA from 1 species